AAAACUUGAAAGCAAAUCAAAACCUAAUCCUAAGAUAAAAGAACACCAGCAUUUGAAGAAGUGAAGGGAAGAUUCAAGCAUUACCUGAGCUCGCCGUCACCGUCGAAGGUGAGCCUUUUUAACAGCCUUUGCCUCUGUUUGCAUAUAGAGUGAAGUUUGGGGAAGGUUGGGGACGCGAGAGAGAGGUUUGAGAGACGAUGCUUGAGCGAUUUCGUGAGGGAGACGGGAGUUUGAGGACUUGAGCGAUUUCGUGAGGGAGACGAGAGAAGAGGGAUUGAGAGCGAAUACGGCAAGAGAGGGGUUCGUGAGAUUGGGGAAGGCAAUUAUUGAGAGUGUGAGAGAGAAGCGAGUUUGUGAGGCAUCUAUUACUAUCCCUUUUUCUUUUUUUCUUUUCUUUAAUUUAUUUUUAAACAGAAUAAGUUUUUGAAAGCAUCAAAGAUUUUGUUUAAAAUUCCUAGGUUAUUAGUUAAUAAUUGUUUUUAUAUUUUCAACUUAUACCCCAUUGAAAACCCAACAGCCAAGCGGCUGGGUUUAGUUAUUGGUAGUCCAACAGUUUUCUUUUUUAUUAGUUUUUUAUUUUAAUUCUAAUUUUUAAUCUAUCUUGGUUUAUUUAUCCAAACUAGCAUUAAAAUAACAACUAGUCAUAAGUGGCCUGGUGGAGAUGGGUAGUUUCCAUAGUCUUAAGUGAAGUGGGUUCAAUACUCAUAUGUAGCAUUUUUUUUUUAGCAUUUUAUUUCUUU
rnacentral:lncRNA from 1 species